rnacentral:rRNA from 1 species
UACGUAGGGGGCAAGCGUUGUCCGGAAUCAUUGGGCGUAAAGAGCGCGUAGGCGGCCCUGUAAGUCCGCUGUGAAAGUCAAGGGCUCAACCCUUGGAUGCCGGUGGAUACUGCAGGGCUAGAGUCCGGAAGAGGCGAGUGGAAUUCCUGGUGUAGCGGUGAAAUGCGCAGAUAUCAGGAGGAACAUCGAUGGCGAAGGCAGCUCGCUGGGACGGUACUGACGCUGAGACGCGAAAGCGUGGGGAGCAAACAGG